CAAGUUAACUUGGGGUCAUUUCACAAGGGGUCCUAAACGCCAAAAGGAUGACUUUAACUCAGUGGGGGAGCCGCAGACCUUUACACAAUUAGAAAAAUGUCAGUGUCCUUAGAAGGCAAUGGAAGGCACACGCUCUCCUGCUUGCGCCCUCUGUCUGCAGACUGGAGCCAUGUCACGGGAGGAUAGACCCUUCUUUCAGGGCAGAAGGAAGCCCAGAAGCCUUGUAACCCCACCCACUUCAUACUAGAAGGGAAAUGUGGCCCACUCGGAACGCCCCUUUUCAGAUUCACUCUGUUGGCUUUUCUUCAUCUAAACAUUGACCUGCCCGAGGGCAUGGUGCGGGACCUUCUUCGGUCUGCAAUUUAUUCACUUCCAAAACCAUCUUUAUUAGUUCUUUGGCUUUAAAUACGUCUGUAUUUUGACGGCACACCUGUGCAUGUCUCUGGCCUUGGCUUCCUCUCGGAACUCGACAUAUCCCCGCCUGUCCACUCAGCAGCCCCACCUGGAUGUCUAAUGGGCAUCUCAAAUGAUGCCAUUUACAAUAUAUGCCAAACACAACUCCUGCCUUCUCCCCAAAACCUGUUCACGCCAGUCUUUCUCAGAUCAUCCGCCCAGUGGCUCCUGCCCAACCUAGGCACCGGCCUCAGUUCCUACCUUUUCCUUACGCCAUACGACCAGUUCAGUAGGUGGAUCUUACCUGUUCCACUUCCACAUCCCAUUUCUGUGACUGUGAUCCCAGACCAAGCCCAUUACAGGCAUGCCUAAUUUUAUUGCGCUUUGCUUUCUUGUGUUUCACAGAUACUGCAGUUUUUACAAGUUGAAGGUUUUGGGCAACCCUGUGCCGAGGAAGCCUAUUGGCACCAUUUUCCGACAGCGUCUGCUCACUUUGUGUCUCUGUCGCAUUUGGGAAACUUUUUUUUACUGAAAUCCACACUGAAUCCAAGUAUAUUCCUUGAUGAAGUUUCACCAAGUAAAUACACCCGCCGACGAGGACUCAGAUCGCAACACGGAAUAUUUCCUGCGCCCAGAAACCACUUCCAGUCACGACGCCCCACGGUUGGCACUAGGGCCACGGAUUCAUUUGGUGGGGGUUUGAACCUCAUAUAAAUGGAAUCACGCAGUGCGCGCUCUUCCGACCUGGACUUCUUUGCUCAGCACCAUGUAGGUGAGACUCAUGUGAACUGUUAGCAGGCGGACCUGACCUUGUCUUCUCUCUGUGUGAUAAUCCCUGGUGUGGAUGCAGGUUCCUUACGAACAUGUUCUGGCAUCUGUGAACAGCUGAGUCGUAUCCAGUCUGAGGCUCUAACAAAUACUACUGGUAGGAACAUCCCAAAGUGUGUCUUUUGGCGAACACUGGCACCCAUCCCCACUGGCACGUGCCCAGGGAUUGGAAUCCUGGGCCUGGGGGUGUUUACAUUCAGUUCAGUUCAUACUUUCCUUAGUUGAUUUUUUUAUUGUGGUAAAAUAUACCUAACAGCAAAUGUA